CAGGAAAACAGGUUUCUGACGGUAAACAUGUAUCAGAACGGCACUAUCAUGGUCCAGGGCAGUGAGGCUGCACUCAGCUCUGUUGUGCAGGACUUCCCCACCCUAAGGAAGAUAGCAGAAAGCAAAAAAGACAAGGACAGCACCCCGACCUCUCCCCUCACCUCAGGCACCCCAACAGCAGGACUAUCCUCCCCCUGCCUGCCUACAACCACCAGAGCCAAGACCACACUACCAUCAGCCUGUUGAGAGACAGGCUGGCUGUGUUAGAGGUAUGGGUUACUGAGCUGAAGGAGCAGCCCUCCAGCUACACCACCUCCAGACUGCUGAGAGACAGGCUGGCUGUGUUAGAGGUAUGGGUUACUGAGCUGAAGGAGCAGCCCUCCAGCUACACCACCUCCAGACUGCUGAGAGACAGGCUGGCUGUGUUAGAGGUAUGGGUUACUGAGCUGAAGGAGCAGCCCCCCAGCUACACCACCUCCAGACUGCUGAGAGACAGGCUGGCUCUGUUAGAGGUAUGGGUUACUGAGCUGAAGGAGCAGCUCCCCAGC
rnacentral:lncRNA from 1 species